AAUUUUAUUUAUAAAUAUAUAUUUAUUUAUUAUAUAUAAUAUUUUAUUUAUAUAUUUAUAAUUAUUUAUUAAUAUUUCUAAAUACAUAACUUUUAUAUAUUAUUAAUAUAUAUUUAUUAUAACUUUGAAUAUAUUUAAUCUAUAUAAAAAAAAUUAUAAAAAUAAUAUAUAUAGUAUAUUAAUUAUUAUAUAUUUAUUAUAUAGCCGAAUUUUUUAUUUCGAAUUUUUAAUUGGUAAACGUAUAAUAUCCGUAUAAAUCACGUAUCCGAAUAAUUACCAAAUCCGUUUUUUAACCGUAUUUUUCAACAAAUUUAAAAAUUAAAUGACGAAUUUUAUCCGAAUUAUAUCCGUACCGAAUUUUUGCCGAAUCCGAAUUAACUAACUAUGUUACGGACCGGAUUCAUCUACUAAGAAUUGGAGAGAUUUGAAAUUUUAGAGGGUAUUUAGAAAUUAUAUAUAAACUCGAUCAUAUAUAGCUUGUUUGGAUUAAGUCUAUGGACCUUAGGACUUGUUUGGUCACGCGUUAGAAUUAGUAUUGUUUAAUAAAUUAUUAUCCUAUCGUUAAUUUUUGGGGAAUACCUUUUAUUUUUUAUUCACUUAAUACACAAGAGAACAAUAUUUGAAUAGAAUGAAUAAUCAAUAUUAUGUUCAAUAGUAGUAAUUUUCAAUUUGGAAGCUCUAUCAUGAAAAACAAAUCGAUAAUAACGGAACUCAUUUGCUAUCGAUAUUAUUCUAAGAUUUAGAAGCUCUAUCGUCGAAAACAAAUUAGUAGUAGGGAAACUAGUUUACGACUGAUAUUAUUCUAGGGAA
rnacentral:lncRNA from 1 species